GGAUUAGAUACCCUGGUAGUCCACGCCCUAAACGAUGUGCACUGGAUCGGGGGCGGUCUGACCCGUUCUUGGUCGUAGAGAAAUUGUUAAGUGCACCGCCUGGGGAGUACGGUCGCAAGGCUAAAACUCAAAGGAAUUGACGGGGGCUCACACAAGCGGUGGAGCAUGUUGCUUAAUUCGAUACAACGCGAAGAACCUUACCCGGGUUUGACAUGCUAGGAUUAACCUUUCGAAAGAUAGGCCACGCCCUUUGGGUGGAACUAGCACAGGUGCUGCAUGGCUGUCGUCAGCUCGUGCCG
rnacentral:rRNA from 1 species